CUAAGAAUCCUGUUAAGACUGGAGGGGGAACAAAUAGCCACAUGGUAAGAAAUGACGAAGCUGGGGGAGAUGACUCAGGAACUCCAGCAAUUUGCUAGCUGUAGUAGAAGCCUGACCAAUCUGUGGUAGGAGUUAGGCACCUGAGAGUGCCCUCAGCUGCUCCCAAGGGCCAGCAGUGGCAGUAGCACACAGAUGUGAUGAAAAGCCCACCUCUGCUCUUUGCUGCUUGGGUAGUGAGCCCUGCAUGGAGAGGGUUCCUGCCAGCCAUGGGCCGACCCCGUCUGGCACAGCAGAGGUGAAACUGUUUUCUGAAGAACAAAUGCCCACUCAUGAUGUGCUACCACAGGGAUGUUAAGCCAAGAGGUAUGAAAGCAAACAAGAUUAGACCUCUAAGUCCGGGGCAUCCUUCCCAGGAAAGGCUAGACCAUUUAUGCCAAUCUGUCAUCCUCUCAAACUGCACUCAUCCAUCUUCCCUUCAAAGAUGAAGAAGUGGCAACAUCUUCUCUAACUGGGGACGUCUUAUGUGGCCAGAAUUUCAAACAAAGUCCUAACUGAACAACAGUGACAACAGGGAGAUCAAUGGCAAUGUCAAUAUACAUUAUCAAAGGGACUGCUGUGAACCAUCUUGGCAUACUCUGAGUGGCCGCGUUGCAUCCUGUACAGCAUUACAAAAACAAACAGAAGAAAAAGAAAGAGAAAAAAAAAAAAGAACAAACCACCCAUUUUUAUGUUCUUUAAUUUGCAUUUUCUGCAUGAAAUAAGACCUUGAUCCUUGUCUUUUUUCACAAAAGCAGGUUCUGCUUUAACUAAUGUAAAAAAAAAAAAAAAAAAAAAAAGGAAAGAAAAUAAUGUUUCUAUAGCAAAGUGAUUUAGAUGUAGAAAUUUUUGUAAAAAAAAAAAAAAAACGGGGGGAGGAGAAAAAAAAAGGGGGGGGGAAACAACAAAGAAAUAAAAUAAAAUGACCUAAAGAGCCAUCUUUGUCUACUCUAGAGGUGGGAAGGUGUGAUUGGUGGGUGGCAGUCUCUGCUCUCAUAGCCGUCCUGUGCCAGAUGGAGAGGAGCUGAAGCCCAUUCUGUGCCAUGGGAUGGCUCCCUGGACAAGCGUGCUCACCAAUUACAGCUGGGUGCUUUCAAAAACUGUCUCCUUCCGUCUUCUUGUAGGUAGAGUGGGCAGGAGGGCAGGGGGAAGGAUGGGCAGGGCCAAGGGGAGUUGCCUUGCUUUCAUUCUGGGGUUUAGUUUGGGGUAUUUCUGUUCCUGCAGUGACAGUUUUUGAAAGGCAAUGAUGAACAAAAGUAAAAACAAACUUGAAAACAGUUUACAAUUUUGUACAAACCAUUAUAAAUAUUAACAACAAAUGUUUUUUAAAAUGCUCCAUACCAGUGCCAAAAUAAUGUAAUCUGUACAUUGCUUUCUUCUCUUUUUUCUUUCUUUUUUCUUUUUUUCUUUUUUUUCUUUUUCUUUUUUUGGAGAAAAAAAAAGUGUUAAAACACUAAAAAUAUUUCUUUAAAAAAAAACCAACAAAUGUAUGUGGACAUAAAUGUACUUGAAAGUUGUUAAUUAUCAAAUGGUUAGGAAUCGUUCUUGACCUUUUGGGUUUGCUUUCUUUUUUCCUACCCUGAACAAAAGUAACAUACAACAAAUACAACCUUUAAAGGAGAAUCUUUUAUCUGCUGGUUUGAAUACAAGAGGUUUCCAUUUUUAAGGCACUGUCUUUAGGACAAAUCCAUGUUAAUGAGCUAUGAAAAAACAGAUGAAGUUACCCUCCAGAGCACUCAAACUUGUCCUGAACUUCACAACAGAACUCCUGUUAUGUCAUUUAAAUGUGUGUCCAAAGGACAUUGCCUCAACUUAAGCAAAGUUUUCUACGUAUCAAAGUAUCCUGCUCAGUUGUACCAAGAGUUGGAUGCACACAAGCUCUAUGCUAUUGCCCAGAGCAAUGGGGGAAAACAGAAUAAAUCCUGAGUCUUAUUUUUUUGCUA